GCUCGGUCGGACCGCUACAGUGCCGUCCCUCGGGAAGGGCGGGAGGGCCCCGCGGUUCUGGCCCGCCUCCUCCGGAUGCGCUUACUCUAAGCUAUUCAGAGCCUCCCGCCGUUUCCCGAGCGAUUGUGGGUUUCGAUUGUUCUCGAAAACGGAACGGGAACUUGCUCCAAAAGCCGCGCUCGGGCUGCGACUUAUGAGCUUGCUCCCGUUGCCUAAGCCGGUUUGUGGGGGUCUGCAAUCGUUUUGGCCUCAGGAUGCGCUACUGUGGCUGGCGGGGGAAAAAAGGGCUGGGUCCGGUUCGUUGAUGUCUGGGUGGGUUGUUCAGGGCCCGGCUAGUUUGUUUUUGGAACGUAAUGCAAAUUUAAGCAACUGGGUUAACUCAGGAAAUCGUGGUUCGGUUUUAAAAGGAGAGUGCGCGGUACGAACACCGUCACUUCGUACGAAGGUCAAUGCACCGACAGUGAAAAUCGGGCUGAGGAAAAUAAGAUCAGUCAAAUUCUGCUUGCUAUUGAUUAUUAGAAAGGUGCCGUUCUUGCCUUUCUUAGAGGUUAUUAGGACAGUUUAUAAGAAAAUGUCAUAAAAUAAAUUUAAUACACUGAAAUACUCCUUCAUCUACAUUGUUGUACAUCUUUUUUUUAAUGGAGGGGUGAGGGAAGAGAAGAGACCCAUCCUUUUCUUGAUGUCAGAAAAAAUACUGUAAGUAACAAGCAGAUCUGCAGUAGACUAUCUUAGAUGCUGACUGAAAAGUUUCCUUGAUUACAAACCACCCACACUACACCCUCAGGUGGUAAGAAAGCCACAUAGAAGGUCUGCUAAAUGUUUCUAGAUUUGGAUUUGGUAUAUAUGAUGUCAGAGAUACAUUCAUACUCUAUUAAGAUACAAUGGGUAUUGGAUAAACCAAACUGGCUGCAGUCGUAUUACCCUCAACGCCCAAAUAUAUAUACAUUUAAUCACAUUAGGGACUACUAGGGUGUUGUGUGAACUCGGUAGUUACGCUGGUUCUGACAUUUCAAAUGAACAACAGCAUUUUGCACUAGAUUUGGGGGUAGCUCCAGAGUCAAUGCCGGAAUUACCAUACUAGAUGAAACAAUAACAUGGUUUCUUUAAUUUAGGCUCAACAUCCUACAUGACUUCAGCCAUUGCUUAUGACUUGUACGGAAAAGAUUUUGGUGAGAGUCCAGUUGUUUCCGAAUGGUUCCUUAGGGAAGCUCGGUUGAAUUUUACAAGAUUGUGCCUAUUGGCAGUCACUGAAACUGAAGUGAAAAUAAUAAAGGGAAGCAUUGAACUAUACAUCUUUAGGCAAAUACAACUAAAAGAACUGAUGAACAGCUGGAAAUACUAUUCUCUGCAUCCUGGUAGAGAGAGGUUCCUUGAGGAUGGGCUUCACAUGAGUCCAGAAGCUUGGAAGACUAACCUCUAGUCCUGUUGACUGAUCAAGAUUGGAUUCAGUUUACAAUUGAUUCCUGUAUCACAUACAUUCCCCCCACCCCCACUGCCGCUCUAGUACACAAGGAGAAUAAAUACUGGGAAAUGUCAGAUCAGGAAAUCAUAACCCAGUUCCAGGAAGACAAAACUGUUCUCCUACACUGAGUGGGUAGGAAGAGAUUCCAUAACAACUUAUUGAGCAACAACCCCGUGAAGUGGGUUGGAUUGAGAGAGAAUGACUGGCCCAAAGACGCCCAGCUGCCUUUCAUGCCUAAAAUGGGGCUAAAACUCACAAUCUCCUGAUUUCUAGUCUGAUGCCUUUACUUCUAGACUAGAUCAAACUGGCUUAGUGCAUUUCCCGUCAACUGUGGUUUUAUCAAAAAUCCAUGGUUAAGAUACAGCAUGGUUUAAUGUGAAAUAUGGAUCAUCUACUUUCUCUUUUUGUUGUUCAAAGUUCUUGUAUGCUUAUAGUUGAACAGAUUACAAUUUCAAAAAGCUAUUUUGGCAGGCAAAUGGGAGAAUGACAGAAGAAGGGAAAUGAUGUAUCUAAGUGAAGGUGCCCUGCAAAUUAUUUUUAUCAUUUGCCAAGAAUCCAGCAGCAAUAGCUGCUUCAUUUUAAGAUGUCAGAGAUUGUGCUGCAAUUUAAGAAUAAUUUUUCCAGAAAGAAAAUAAUAGUACAGAGGAAGUACUCUAACUUUUCAUAUCAAGACUUACAUCACUUUUUAUGCAGGACAAUUGGAAGCGAAAUUGCCUUCGGCAUGGGUUCAAGAUCAUUCACUUUAGAUGAAUUAUUAUCUUCAUGAACAAAUGAUCUAUCAUGCUUUAAAACACAUUUGAUUAGAAUAAUUUAUAAAAGAAGUAAAGGAACAGAAAUCUCUGCAGAGCCCUGUGAAGUACUGUUUUCUAAUUGGGAACAGAUCACUUAGUGAAAAUUAAACUGAAUUUGAAUUAUUCAAACAAACUUUACACAGCUAAUUUUUCUAUCAUCUAAGAGGUGGUAGUGAUAACGUUACUCUAUGUGUGACAUCUGAGAAGCUAAAAACAAUAACCUGUCCUGCAUGAACAACUUAGGCUGUGAGGCAUCAUGAGACAGUUCACUAGGGCAAGGAAGUGGUCCAGAUCCAAAGAUAUGUCAUGAAUGCACCUGCCAGAAACACCUUAAAACACCUGCAUCUUUUCCUGGGUCCACCCAGCUAUCUUCUCCAACUGCUGCAUGAUCCCAGGAAAAAUUGCUUGGAUUUAGGGUGUUCUGGGCAAAUGCUACAUGCAUGGUCACAAUCACAUUUUGUCUUAGAUUGCUGUGAUGUUUUAUAUAACCUAUUCAUGACUUUGCAAAGCCAAACAGAAGAUGUACUGUUUUUCUGGACUGAGAGUUAUAUUUGACUUUUGAGUGGGAUGCCAAGGACACUUAAAAAAAAUAGUGGGUCAGGCCAGGACAAAAACUAAAUUUUAUUUCAGUUAUAGUAAGUUAAAUGUAAACAUAGUUAAAAUGAUUCAUCAUCAGGGUACCUCAGAAUUAGGCCUGGUUGCAAAUAAAUAGUAUAGUAUAAACAAUAUACUGUUACAUAUUAUAUUUUGAUAACAAUUUUUAGAAAUUCCUAGGAUGUAAAAGUGAAAGAUUUAUUUUGUAUUGGAAGGAAAUAUUUCUUGUCCUAAAGAACCACCAUGGGAAAUGCUUUCUAUUAAAUCAAGGGCUGAACAAGUGUGUAAUGAUGUAUGGGUAACAGAAAAAAAGUGAAUAUAUUUAUUCUUUUAGCAUCGGUACCAUGGUUAUCAUUGAAAUUGUUACUUAGUUGAGUAAAGUUGUAUAAUGAAAUAUCUGUAAGAAAAUAACUAUGCUCUCAGAUAACAUUAAGGACCCAACAAUUCAAUCCUCAUCUACAAAUAUUCUUUUCUAUUAGUCAUGGUUUAUUUAACUGUGGUUUAUUAAAUUACAGCAAUAGCAUUAGCACUUAGACUGCUUCACAGUGCUUUACAGCCCUCUCUAAGCGAUGACAGAGUCAGC